UUCAAUCAUUCUAUGACAAGCAAAAUCUUUCUAGCAAUGCUCACCAUGGAAUUCAAAUUCUAAACCACUAGAGAAUAAUCUCAUCAAUUAGGGCAUUAAAUUGUUUAAAACCAAUGCAAGACGAAACCACAAUCCAUGAAGAUCUAGAACAAGGGGCGACUUUAUCAUUAGUAUCUGCAUCCCUAUGAAGUGUGGUAAGGUGGACAGGCAUUUUAUAAGCAUGUUUCCUGUGAAAAAUUCUCUAAUGCGUAUUUGUAUUUGGGGAUGGUAUCCUGGUUGUGUAAAUAAACAUAAUAUAAGAAGAAAUAAUAAGAUUACAA
rnacentral:lncRNA from 1 species